UACGUAGGGUGCGAGCGUUGUCCGGAAUUAUUGGGCGUAAAGGGCUCGUAGGCGGUUUGUCGCGUCGGGAGUGAAAAUCCAGGGCUUAACUCUGGACUGGCUUCCGAUACGGGCAGACUAGAGGUAUGCAGGGGAGAACGGAAUUCCUGGUGUAGCGGUGAAAUGCGCAGAUAUCAGGAGGAACACCGGUGGCGAAGGCGGGUCUCUGGGCCGAAAUUGACGCUGAGGAGCGAAAGCGUGGGGAGCGAACAGG
rnacentral:rRNA from 1 species